rnacentral:lncRNA from 1 species
AUAUGUGGAUAUACAUAAUAUAACACAGUUUACACAAAUAAUAUUUUAUUUAGAUUUUAAGAUAUUUAUCUAAAAACAACAUUUCUUAGAAAACUAUAUUUUCUCAUUAUAUGAUUUUUUAAUAUCCCAAUAACAUAUUUUGCUGAUGUUCUUGUUUUUAUUUUGCUGUUAAUGUCUUCAGGAUUUUUCAUAUGUUAAGAUUGUAUAAUACCACAUUGCCUGAUUUGCUCUGGUCUCCUUACCACUUGUUCUGUUAAUUGGCAUCUAGACUUGGUUCAGUUUUUCACUCAGUCAGUGUGCAAUGCAAGGGACACCUUUGGAAAUAUUUCCUGUAACAUUUUAAAAUCUAAAGUAGAGGAUGUACAAGGUGAGAUUCAUCAUUUAUUUUUAUCUUGUAUGAAAUAGAUUAGCUUAAUGGGCUGCUCUGUGCCUGGCAAGAUUAAACCUAAAAACGAGGAAAGAGGGGAGGAAGUCAAAAGAAGAGGGUAUUCAUUCCCACCUUUUUCAGUUCAGCAGUACCAGUAUCUAUCUAGGAAACCCCAGCAUGUUCCAAUUUUUUCAAUAGCUUUCCUCCUUUACUUUCUGCUUCAGAAAAUGCCUGAGAAUAUUAUGUGUUUCAGAAAUAUAUGCCAAUUAACCACUAUUGAUUAUCUACAUGAUACAAAUAAAAUAUUCAGCAUGCAA